AGAGUUUGAUCAUGGCUCAGGAUGAACGCUAGCGACAGGCCUAACACAUGCAAGUCGAGGGGCAGCGGAGAGGUAGCAAUACCUUUGCCGGCGACCGGCGCACGGGUGAGUAACACGUAUGCAAUUCACCUGCAACAGGGGGAUAACCCGGAGAAAUCCGGACUAAUACCCCAUAAUAUGGGCGCUCCGCAUGGAGAGCCCAUUAAAGAGAGCAAUUUUGGUUACAGACGAGCAUGCGCU
rnacentral:rRNA from 1 species